GAAGCUGUAAAGCAACAUGUUUCUGAUGUUAAAGAAAAGAACCAAGAGCUAGAGGUUCUUUGUGAAACUUUGAAGAAACAAGACAGUAGUCUUAAAGCUGAAAACAGUGAGCUUGGUGAAAAAUUGUCCGAGUGUGAAUCAAGGAUUAAUGAAUUGCAUAGUCAAUUGCAUGAUUUACAGCGAAGUUCAGAUGAGCUGGCUUUUGUACUUAGUGGUCAAUUGGAAACUUUCCAGA
rnacentral:misc_RNA from 1 species